UAGGCCUGGUUGUUUAGCAUAUUUGGUUGUUGCCCAGAAGGAGAAUUCUGAUAAAUUCAGGUCUAA
rnacentral:tRNA from 1 species